GCUUAGUAUGUGUACCUGCUGUAAAUAUGGACAAACAGCUAAGUGUAGGCUUUAGGUGGGCAUGCAGUUAGUUUCAGAUUGCCCAUAAAGGUCCUACAAACAUGG